AUCAGAGAUCUUCUUUUCUUUGGCGCUGGUGGCGCGACGGUCUCCGCCAUUCGCCACGACGUGUUCUGACGGUGUUCCUUGCCGUGUUGCUGCUCUCCAUCGCUAUCAUACGCGAUAGCGCACACAAUGACCCCGAGUGCCGCCUACUUGCCCAUGACGCGCUGCAUCUUUCGUGCACUGACAGACGAGGGGUACAAGGCGGUGAUGGGCAAGCCGCCAGGGACGUACUCGCUGCAGUCGGAGAUCGCGCAGAAUCACGCGAGCUUGCACCUGCAUCAGAUUGUCGACGGCACAGACGCCUACCCUUCCCUGCGUGUCGUGGACCUGCUCCCGUCCACCCACUGCAGCCUAAGCGCUGACACGGCAGUCACAAUGGUGGUUCUCCCUCCCACGCCCAUUGUUGGUGACAGAGCGGACAGGGACGUCGCGAGAGAAGACCACCACGAUGACGCCCCGGCCGCGUGUGUCGCUGUGCGUCUGGACAACAGCCUCCGUGGCUCGACGGCGCUCGCCACGCCACACACGCUCGAGAACCUGCUCCUCGAGGACGAGGCCAUCGUGAAGGUGAGCGGCUGCUGCCACAACUGCGUGUUUGUGGUGAAUGAGUUGGGGUCCACGCCCACGGGCUCGUCCUCCGGCGCGAUGAUGACGGUGGGCCCCGAGCUCUUCCGCAACGUGCGUGCCGCCUUCUACAGUCAUCCGUCACAGAUGUUGAUGUCGUCCGCGCAGUCAGUCGACUACUCGAACACGGUUUUGUGCCUUCCUGUGGAUGCCUUCCAGCCUGUAGAAGAUGAUUCCGGAGAGCUUCUUCACAGAUCGGCCGCCGCACAGACGCACGCUCUCACGAAGAUCGUUUUUUGCCCUGCUGUGAACGACGCGACUCUGACAGAGCUAUACGGACUCCACUACCCUGACUUGUGCGCACUCUUCGGCGCAGCCUCAGCUGUCGCCUGGGAGGGACGCCUCGUCAGCACCGGCGACGUACUCUACCUUGAAAAGGACACGCUCCACGCAGCGGCGCAGCGACUGGAGGGCGUAGAUGUGUUGGAGAGUGUGUCGCGUGUGCUGUCCCAUAAGGUCCGCAAAUGGAACGAAACGUGGGUGGAUGAAAACGCCUCCUGCCGCCACCUUCUCGCCCUGCGCGUGACGCGUCUGGAGAGGAGUGGCACUCCAGUGCCAUUUGGUGUUCUCCGCAACUGCGGCGGCGAGGCAGACACCGUCGAGGUGGCGCUCGUGCACCAGCGAAACAGCCACGUUUGGGAACACACACCGGUCUGGGCUCCAUCACCAGCAUACGGGCUUGCCGAUGUCCAGGUGUACGCUCGCCUCUGUCGUGAGCUUCGCCGUGUUGUGACGCCAUCGCUGGAGUGCGACGUGCACACUUUUGUUGUCCACGGAGUAAAGGAGAACCUGCCGCGCGAGUUUGUCGAGUGCGCUGUCGCGGCGUUUGGCCUUCCCUGCCUCCUUGCCUCCGCCGAGGCGAUGGAGGAGGCGGAGCUGGAGACGUUAACCCGGACAUUUCUUGGCGAGCUAUGCGGUGCGACGACGGUACUGAUUGUCCACAACGCGCACACAAUCGCGGACCUGUGCCCGCACUUCUUAUCGGUGCUUGACGAGUUGAGCAGCGGCGUCCGAGCGACAGUGGGCGGAGGUCCACCGCCCGGACCUCGCAUCCUCUUUCUUCUGUGCGAAUCGAUUGACGCUGUGCCACCCAUGAUCGCAGCUCGUGCCACCAACGCAGACGGUGUGCUGGAGUGCGGCAACCCAUCCGAGGAGGACCGAGCAGCGUUCAUCGCGCCGCUGCUGCAGUGGAGCUGCGCGCAGCAUCGUGUGCAUGCGAGCGUUCUUCUGUCACCCAAGACGCUCGCGGGCUGGGCGGUCGGUCUGACGUAUGCCGACAUAUUGUCGCUUGUGGAGGCUUGUGUCCGCGAUGCAGCGCAGUGCGCGCGGUGCACCGGAGAGGCAUUGGCGGUCGUCAGCGACGUCUCAUGCGAGCCCGUGGUGCAGUCCUACCUCAAGUCGCACGGGUACAGCAUGGUCUCCACCAAGCUGCAGCCCGUUCGCUGGGGCGACGUGGGCGGCAUGGAGGAAGCCAAGCGGGAGUUGCGGGAGAUGAUUCAGCUCCCCAUCCUACACCCUGAGGUGUUCGAGAAGGGCAUGAAGAAGCGCACUGGGGUUCUCUUUUACGGCCCCCCCGGCUGCGGGAAGACGCUUCUGGCGAAGGCUGUCGCCACAGAGAUGAGCAUGAAUUUUAUAUCUGUCAAGGGCCCGGAGCUGAUUAACCAGUAUGUUGGUGAGAGUGAGAGGAACAUUCGGCUCCUCUUUCAGCGGGCGCGGGACAACUCGCCGUGCAUUGUUUUCUUCGACGAAAUCGAUGCGCUGGCGCCAGCGCGUGGCGCGAAGGGCGACGCCGGCGGCGUCAUGGACCGCAUUGUAUCGCAGCUCCUGGUGGAGGUGGACGGCGUUGGCCAGAAGCGCUCUGACGGCACGGCAAGUGGAGACGUGUUCAUCAUUGGCGCGACGAAUCGACCAGACCUGCUCGAUCCCGCACUCCUGCGCCCCGGUCGCUUCGAUCGAUUGUGCUACCUCGGUAUCCCGUCUACGCGCGAGGAGCAGCUCUUUGCGCUCAAGGCUCUGACCCGCAAGUUCGACAUGAGCGCCGACGUGGAUCUCUCGGCAGUGCUGGAACCGCUGGACUUUGUGUACACCGGCGCCGACUUCUUCGCUCUCUGCUCGGACGCCAUGAUGUUUGCCGUAGAGGACGCCCUUGAGGAGUUGCAACAGCAGAUCACCACUCAUGCGUUAGCGGAGACCGGGGCUGCUAACACUCCUGAUUCUGCACUCCCACCUGCAACGGCAGCGGCCGAGGAGGAGCGGAAGCCGAUAACGGUCUGCAUGCAACACUUCCUCCGUGCUCGAGCGCAGCUGAAGCCCUCUGUGACGAAGGCAGACCUACAAAAGUACGAAGCCCUCAAGCAGACGUUUGACAAGUCCACGAAGGGGUAGGAGGGCAUCUUCAUUGCCCUCCUUUUUUUAUGCCGCCCUCGCGCAGGUGCGCGGCGCACUUGCCUGCUGGUGUGCAGGAUUGAUGUCAAAAGAGGGACGCGCAGACAGCGCUGGGGUCAGACGUGACGGAUGGCAUUGUUCUGUCACCGAACAUCCCCUCAUCUCUGCCCACCCAAGCACGGCCGCUGUUGAUGCCCAUCCGUUGCAAGAAGGAGGUGUACCAUGCACACGGACAUGUGCCAGGAAAGAUAAGUCCGCUAAAGCGAAGGGGGGGGGUGAAGGCGGUGGACGUAGGGGUGAUGCAGUGUGUGCCCCUUUCCACCCGUGUCCAUCUCAUUUUCCUCGUACAGAGGCUGGCUGUGUACGCCCUUGUGCUCAUCCUCUUCUGCUUGUCUUAGCGCUUACGCCUGUCCUACACCUGACGGAUGGUGCGCC
rnacentral:misc_RNA from 1 species